AAACUGCCUGAUGGAGGGGGAUAACUACUGGAAACGGUGGCUAAUACCGCAUAACGUCGCAAGACCAAAGAGGGGGACCUUCGGGCCUCUUGCCAUCAGAUGUGCCCAGAUGGGAUUAGCUGGUUGGUGAGGUAACGGCUCACCAAGGCGACGAUCCCUAGCUGGUCUGAGAGGAUGACCAGCCACACUGGAACUGAGACACGGUCCAGACUCCUACGGGAGGCAGCAGUGGGGAAUAUUGCACAAUGGGCGCAAGCCUGAUGCAGCCAUGCCGCGUGUAUGAAGAAGGCCUUCGGGUUGUAAAGUACUUUCAGCGGGGAGGAAGGUGUUGCGGUUAAUAACCGCAGCAAUUGACGUUACCCGCAGAAGAAGCACCGGCUAACUCCGUGCCAGCAGCCGCGGUAAUACGGAGGGUGCAAGCGUUAAUCGGAAUUACUGGGCGUAAAGCGCACGCAGGCGGUCUGUCAAGUCGGAUGUGAAAUCCCCGGGCUCAACCUGGGAACUGCAUUCGAAACUGGCAGGCUUGAGUCUUGUAGAGGGGGGUAGAAUUCCAGGUGUAGCGGUGAAAUGCGUAGAGAUCUGGAGGAAUACCGGUGGCGAAGGCGGCCCCCUGGACAAAGACUGACGCUCAGGUGCGAAAGCGUGGGGAGCAAACAGGAUUAGAUACCCUGGUAGUCCACGCCGUAAACGAUGUCUACUUGGAGGUUGUGCCCUUGAGGCGUGGCUUCCGGAGCUAACGCGUUAAGUAGACCGCCUGGGGAGUACGGCCGCAAGGUUAAAACUCAAAUGAAUUGACGGGGGCCCGCACAAGCGGUGGAGCAUGUGGUUUAAUUCGAUGCAACGCGAAGAACCUUACCUGGUCUUGACAUCCACAGAAGAAUCCAGAGAUGGAUUUGUGCCUUCGGGAACUGUGAGACAGGUGCUGCAUGGCUGUCGUCAGCUCGUGUUGUGAAAUGUUGGGUUAAGUCCCGCAACGAGCGCAACCCUUAUCCUUUGUUGCCAGCGGUUAGGCCGGGAACUCAAAGGAGACUGCCAGUGAUAAACUGGAGGAAGGUGGGGAUGACGUCAAGUCAUCAUGGCCCUUACGACCAGGGCUACACACGUGCUACAAUGGCGCAUACAAAGAGAAGCGACCUCGCGAGAGCAAGCGGACCUCAUAAAGUGCGUCGUAGUCCGGAUUGGAGUCUGCAACUCGACUCCAUGAAGUCGGAAUCGCUAGUAAUCGUGGAUCAGAAUGCCACGGUGAAUACGUUCCCGGGCCUUGUACACACCGCCCGUCACACCAUGGGAGUGGGUUGCAAAAGAAGUAGGUAGCUUAACCUUCGGGAGGGCGCUUACCACUUUGUGAUUCAUGACUGGGGUGAAGUCGUAACAAGGUAACCGUAGGGGAACCUGC
rnacentral:rRNA from 1 species